CAGAGCAGCCCUUGAGCUAACCCGUCUCUGUUGCAAAAGAGUGGGACGACUCUCGAGUAGAGGUGAUAAACCUACCGAACUUAUAAAUAGCUGGUUACUUAAGAAAAGAAUUUUAGUUCAGCCCAAAAAUCCCCCUUAAAUAUAAAAUAAACCAGAUUUUUGGAGUUAUUCAAAUAAGGCACAGCUUAUUUGAUUCAGGAUACAACCUACAUUGCAGGGUAACAUAUCUUUAUAUUUAACAAGUCGGCCCAAAAGCAGCCACCUUUAAAAAAGCGUCAAAGCUUAACAUUAACUAUAUUCCUAAUGUCUUGAUUAAUUAUUAACCCUCCCUUAGUAUUAAGUAAUCCCAUAAACAUAUGAGAGUUCCAAUGCUAGAACUAGUAACAAGAAAAAGAUUUUUCUCCAUAAUGUAAGCUUGAGCCCCUAUAGACACUCUACCGGCAUUUAACGCAAAUGAGCCAAUUUUAGUAACAUGACAAGAAAAACUUAAAUCAGAAAGCGUCAACCUUACACAAGCACAU
rnacentral:rRNA from 1 species